AAGUUAAGGUGUUAGUUUUGGACCUACUGUCACUCUUUUGGGCAUAACGCACGUAUACGGAUAGAAAUUGAGGUUCGGCGACUGCGACUAGAGAGAGCACUUUUGUGGCUAUACUUUUCGCAUACUGCUUACUGGAUUCUAAGUUGGAAUAAAGGAGUUAUUGGAUUUUGAAGUCAGCACAUGCAAUCUAAAGGUAGUAAGUAAACCGAUUUACUAGUGUUUGU
rnacentral:lncRNA from 1 species